rnacentral:misc_RNA from 1 species
GAUGAAGAACGUAGCGAAAUGCGAUAAGUAAUGUGAAUUGCAGAAUUCAGUGAAUCAUCGAAUCUUUGAACGCACAUUGCGCCCCCUGGUAUUCCGGGGGGCAUGCCUGUUCGAGUGUCAUUUCACCACUCAAGCCUCGCUUGGUAUUGGGCAACGCGGUCCGCCGCGUGCCUCAAAUCGACCGGCUGGGUCUUCUGUCCCCUAAGCGUUGUGGAAACUAUUCGCUAAAGGGUGUUCGGGAGGCUACGCCGUAAAACAACCCCAUUUCUAAGGUUGACCUCGGAUCAGGUAGGGAUACCCGCUGAACUUAAGCAUAUCAAUAAGCGGAGGA